rnacentral:rRNA from 1 species
UCGCUCCUACCGAUUGAGUGAUCCGGCGAAUACUUCGGAGUGCUGGGUUUGCGAUUUCCGUGAGCCUUCGCGCAAAGUUGAAUAAACCUUAUCACUUAGAGGAAGGAG